GACGAACGCUGGCGGCGUGCUUAACACAUGCAAGUCGAACGGAAAGGCCCUGCUUUUGUGGGGUGCUCGAGUGGCGAACGGGUGAGUAACACGUGAGUAACCUGCCCUUGACUUUGGGAUAACUUCAGGAAACUGGGGCUAAUACCGGAUAGGAGCUCCUGCUGCAUGGUGGGGGUUGGAAAGUUUCGGCGGUUGGGGAUGGACUCGCGGCUUAUCAGCUUGUUGGUGGGGUAGUGGCUUACCAAGGCUUUGACGGGUAGCCGGCCUGAGAGGGUGACCGGCCACAUUGGGACUGAGAUACGGCCCAGACUCCUACGGGAGGCAGAAGUGGGGAAUAUUGCACAAUGGGCGGAAGCCUGAUGCAGCAACGCCGCGUGCGGGAUGACGGCCUUAGGGUUGUAAACCGCUUUCGCCUGUGACGAAGCGUGAGUGACGGUAAUGGGUAAAGAAGCACCGGCUAACUAAGUG
rnacentral:rRNA from 1 species